CAGCUGCCUCUGGGAAGAGACAGGGGUGUAGUGUGAUCAGAGGUCAGAACAAGGAUCCCAGAAAAAACUUAAUGCAUGGAGAUGUCUGCUAAGGCAUGGCUAAGUGGCUUGUAGCCAUGUUCCCUUUCAUUUGCCUCCCAUGAUCACAGAUGCAAUUAUGGUUUCUAUACUCUACCACUGGUUUAGAGGUGAGUUUCCCUGGUGAACAAAAAACAAGUUGGGAAAGUUUUUAACCUCAGCUGCUGCCUCAGAGCAUCUGCAGUGGGAUGAGUCAGGCAAGGCAGCUGCAGAAUAAUGAAGGUGUACUUCCCGCUCUCUGGUUGCUUAUUAUUGCUACCUGAACUCCCUUGGCAGUCAGUGGACCCUCUAUUAUCUCCCCGUGAUGCUCCAAUCCACUCAGACCUCCCUCUGGCCAGCUACAAUUCUCUCUUUCCCA